GACGGGGGGGGCAAGUGUUCUUCGGAAUGACUGGGCGUAAAGGGCACGUAGGCGGUGAAUCGGGUUGAAAGUGAAAGUCGCCAAAAAGUGGCGGAAUGCUCUCGAAACCAAUUCACUUGAGUGAGACAGAGGAGAGUGGAAUUUCGUGUGUAGGGGUGAAAUCCGUAAAUAUACGAAGGAACGCCAAAAGCGAAGGCAGCUCUCUGGGUCCCUAUCGACGCUGGGGUGCGAAAGCAUGGGGAGCGAACAGG
rnacentral:rRNA from 1 species